AGCGCACUCCUUUAUUCAAAGGUUUGGAGAAUGAAAACUUCCCACUUUCCACGAUAAAUGAAGAAAAAAAAAAAAAAAAACCUAAAUUCCCACGUCCCGAAGACCUGAACUCUAGUAACGAAUCAAUCUCUCCCUUCUUUCGUUUACCUCUCUCUCUCUCUGAUCUCUCUCGCUCUCUCCUCUUUCUCUCUCACACUUCCAUUAACCCUAGCGAUCUCCUCGACCUCCACUAAAGAGAGAAAUUUGGUGUGAGUUUUAUCAAAUUCGUGAAAAGCACGGGGAGGUCCAUCGCCGAGCUUCUUUGCAUGCUGAAGAAGGGGAAAGGCUUCGAAAUCGAUUGGGUUGAGCUGCCUAUAGUUCUAAUGUUGGCCACAGAUCUGGAUUUAGUUGAGGUUAGCAUGAACUUUUCACAUAUGGAUCAUGAAUAUGAGAAAAUUCGCAGGAGAAUGAACCCACCAAGUGUAGUUGAUAAUGAAGCCUGCAAGAAUGCUAUGGUGAUAAGGUUAUGGUCACCCUCUCUCAUCCUUUUGUGGCUUUUUCACUUUGUUGAGUUUCUUAUGCUUCUCUGUUGAGCUUCUUUUCUUAUGGAGUGCUCCCCUAACCGCUGUUCAGCUAUUAUGGGUGAACAUGAUUAUGGACACACUGGGAGCACUUGCACUUGCAACUGAGCCUCCAAAUAAUGACUUAAUGAAGUGUCCGCCAGUUGGAAAGAGGCAAAAUCUCAUCAGUAAUGCAAUGUGGAGGAAUAUGUUAGAGCAGUCUUUCUAUCAAUUUACAGUAAUAUGGCUUCUUCAGGCAAUAGGACAAGCAAUAUUUCAUCUUGAUUAACCAGAUUCUCAUGUGAUCCUCAGCACUCUCAUUUUCAAUACAUCUGUGUUCUGCCAGGAGGGGUUGCUUGCUCUGUUGGAUUUGCACAAGGGGCUAGGAUUUUCUGCUCUGUUUUGUGUAAGGAAGAGCUGUUCUUCUCUCAUUCCAAGGGUGUUUAUAUAUUCAUGUAACAUUUUAAUUAUAUUAAUUCUUGGGUAGCAAUUUGAUUUGGAUAGCCAAGAUAUUUAAUUUUGAUGAAUUGAACUUUUAGUGCUUUCCAUUAUGGAAGUUCUUUAUGUUUUUUGUACUAAGAGGUCAGGCAUCAUGUCCCCCUCUCUAUUGUAUUUGUUUUUGUGCUAAUAAAGAAUAUUGCUCAUUACUCUUA